rnacentral:rRNA from 1 species
UACAGAGGUCCCAAGCGUUGUUCGGAUUCACUGGGCGUAAAGGGUGCGUAGGUGGCCGGGUAAGUCUGACGUGAAAUCUCCGAGCCUAACUCGGAAACUGCAUCGGAUACUAUCCGGCUUGAGGGUUGGAGGGGGGACUGGAAUACUUGGUGUAGCAGUGAAAUGCGUAGAUAUCAAGUGGAACACCAGUGGCGAAGGCGAGUCCCUGGACAACUCCUGACACUGAGGUACGAAAGCUAGGGGAGCAAACAGG